rnacentral:lncRNA from 1 species
AGGACAUGGGGGACAUGGGGACAAGGGUGCACAGAGGGACAUGGGGGAUUUGGAGGACGUGGAGGGAUCUGGAGGACACAGGGACACAGAGGGACAUAGGGGAUAUCGAGGGACACAGAUGUGAAGGGACCCAGUAGGUUAUGGGGGACAUAGGGGACAUGGAAGGAUAUGGGGGACAUGGGGACAGAGAGGGACAUGGGGGAUAUGGGAGACACAGGGGACACUGUGACAGCAGGACAUGGGGGACAUGGGGGACAUGAGGGGAUGCAGCAGGACAUGGGGGACGUGGGGACACGGGUGACAUGAAGGGACAGAGAGGACAUCGAGAUGGGGGGACACCAGGGGGACAGGGGCAGAGACGGGGAGAUGCGGGGACGGGGGACGCGCGAGGCGGCUCGGGGUCCCUCCGUGCCAUUGUCCCCGUCCCCUCCUGUGGCCCCGGCCUUGGGUCCCCUCCCCGUGGCCUUGUCCCUGUCCCCAUGGCCACCUCCGUCCACCUCCCCACGGCCACCUCUGUCCACCUCCCCUGGCCUUGUCCCCGUCCUGUCCCUGUCCCCUCCCAGGAUUGAGCCCCGCUGGCCCUGUCCCCUCUCUCCAUCGCUGUCCCCACACCGUGUCCUUGUCCCUGUCCCCAUCCCCAGCACCCUGUGGCCGUGCUGGUCCCCAUGGCCAUCACCAGCACCCCAUGCCCAUGGCCAUGGUGGUCCCCAUGGCUGUCCCCAUGCUACUUUGGGCCCAUGGCCAUGGUGGUCCCCAUGGCUGUCCCCAUCCCUCCGGCCAUCUCCAGCACCCAAUGCCCAUGGCCAUGAUGGUCCCCAUGGUCAUCUCCAUGGCUGUGCUGGCACUGGGGAUGGUGGCCAAGUGACUCUGGUGAAGCCUGGCCCCACCACCCUGUCCCCAUCCCCAGCACCCUGUCCCCAUGCCCAUCUCCAUCCCUCCAGCCAUCUCCAGUACCCCAUGCCCAUGGCCGUGGUGGUCUCCAUGGCCAUCCCCAUCCCUCUGGCCACCUCCAGCGCUCCAUGCCCAUGGCCGUGGUGGUCCCCAUGGCCAUCCCCAUGGCUGUCCUUAUGGCCGUGGUGGUCCCCAUGCCUGUCCCCAUCCCUCUGGCCA